rnacentral:tRNA from 1 species
GGUUGUGGCUUAGUGGUAGAACACUGCCUAGCAUGUAUGAGGCACUGGGUUCAAUUCUCAGCACCA